UACAGGGGGGGCAAGCGUUGUUCGGAAUUACUGGGCGUAAAGGGCUCGUAGGUGGCCAACUAAGUCAUACGUGAAAUCCCUCGGCUUAACCGGGGAACUGCGUCUGAUACUGGAUGGCUUGAGUUCGGGAGAGGGAUGCGGAAUUCCAGGUGUAGCAGUGAAAUGCGUAGAUAUCUGGAGGAAUACCGGUGGCGAAGGCGGCAUCCUGGACCGACAUUGACGCUGAUGAGCGAAAGCUAGGGGAGCAAACGGG
rnacentral:rRNA from 1 species